AGUGGCGAACGGGUGCGAAACACGUGAACAAUCUACCUCCAAGUGGGGAAUAGCUCGCCGAAAGGCGAAUUAAUACCGCAUACGGUUGUUUCUCUCCUGAGAGACAUACCAAAGUCGGGGCCCGCAAGGACCUGACGCUGGGAGAGGAGUUCGCGGCCUAUCAGCUAGUUGGCGAGGUAACGGCUCACCAAGGCUAAGACGGGUAGCUGGUCUGAGAGGAUGAUCAGCCACACUGGAACUGAGACACGGUCCAGACACCUUCGGGUGGCAGCAGUUUCGAAUCAUUCACAAUGGGCGAAAGCCUGAUGGUGCGACGCCGCGUGAGGGACGAAGGUCUUCGGAUUGUAAACCUCUGUCACCGGGGAAGAAACGUUUCAUUCUAAUACAAUGAAGCCUGACUUAACCCGGAGAGGAAGCAGUGGCUAACUCUGUGCCAGCAGCCGCGGUAAUACAGAGACUGCAAGCGUUAUUCGGAUUCACUGGGCGUAAAGGGUGCGCAGGCGGCCGUGUGUGUGAGGCGUGAAAGCCCGAGGCUUAACCUCGGAAUUGCACCUCA
rnacentral:rRNA from 1 species